UCCUCUCCAUCUCUCUACAGCACACCUUUUAUUUCUUUUCUUCUUUUUUUUUAAGCCUCACGAAAGAUUUUACUUGUAGAUCAACUUUCAAAAUGUAGGAAGUCAGAAUGGGUGACAUCAUCAGAAAAAUAUGUGGAGCUGAUCGCCACAAGAAGUGAAGAACCCAGGGCACGAAAGCGGUUGUGACUCCUGGGCCCAGGGAGUUGGCAGCGUCUGGGCUUCAGAGGAGCCAGCGCCUCCGAGUGGUCUUGAAGUGAGGCUCUGCUGUACUCCUGUUCUUGUGGCUCUGAGAUCUGAAUGUUGUGACCACUAAUUUGUUGAACCAAGACUCUGAGGCUGAUAUGCAAUGUCACUUACAACAUUAAUCAGAUACUGCAUUUAAGGUGAGCUGUCCCUUGCCUCCUCCUUCCCCAGUGCUCGUGUGCUGCAUGCAGUACGUAUCUUGCUUCUGCGAGCCUAAGAUGGCAGGCAGGAUUAGUCGUGC
rnacentral:lncRNA from 1 species